rnacentral:rRNA from 1 species
UACAGAGGGGGCAAGCGUUAUUCGGAAUUAUUGGGCGUAAAGGGCGCGUAGGCGGCCUGGCAAGUGGAAGGUGAAAUCCCUCGGCUUAACCGAGGAACUGCCUCCCAAACUGCUUGGCUUGAGACCGGGAGAGGUGAGUGGAAUUCCCAGUGUAGCGGUGAAAUGCGCAGAUAUCAGGAGGAACACCGGUGGCGAAGGCGGUUCUCUGGGCAUUACCUGACGCUGAGGAGCGAAAGUGUGGGGAGCGAACAGG